UACGUAGGCAGCGAGCGUUGUUCGGAGUUACUGGGCGUAAAGCGUGCGUAGGCGGUGGCCCAAGUCUGGUGUGAAAUCUCCCGGCUUAACUGGGAGGGUGCGCCGGAAACUGGGUUGCUGGAGUACCGGAGAGGCAAGCGGAAUUCCUGGUGUAGCGGUGAAAUGCGCAGAUAUCAGGAAGAACACCCGUGGCUAAGGCGGCUCUCUAGUACGGUACUGACGCUGAGACGCGAAAGCGUGGGGAGCGAACAGG
rnacentral:rRNA from 1 species